rnacentral:rRNA from 1 species
CCUACGGGGGGCUGCAGUCGAGAAUCAUUCACAAUGGGGGAAACCCUGAUGGUGCGACGCCGCGUGGGGGAAUGAAGGUCUUCGGAUUGUAAACCCCUGUCAUGUGGGAGCAAAUUAAAAAGAUAGUACCACAAGAGGAAGAGACGGCUAACUCUGUGCCAGCAGCCGCGGUAAUACAGAGGUCUCAAGCGUUGUUCGGAAUCACUGGGCGUAAGGCGUGCGUAGGCUGUUUCGUAAGUCGUGUGUGAAAGGCGCGGGCUCAACCCGCGGAAGGCACAUGAUACUGGGAGACUAGAGUAAUGGAGGGGGAACCGGAAUUCUCGGUGUAGCAGUGAAAUGCGUAGAUAUCGAGAGGAACACUCGUGGCGAAGGCGGGUUCCUGGACAUUAACUGACGCUGAGGCACGAAGGCCAGGGGAGCGAAAGGGAUUAGAUACCCGAGUAGUC